rnacentral:rRNA from 1 species
GACGAACGCUGGCGGCGUGCUUAACACAUGCAAGUCGAGCGGUAAGGCCCUUUCGGGGGUACACGAGCGGCGAACGGGUGAGUAACACGUGGGUGACCUGCCCUCAGCUCUGGGAUAAGCCUGGGAAACCGGGUCUAAUACUGGAUAUGACUCCAUGACGCAUGUUGUGGGGUGGAAAGCCUUGUGCGGCUGAGGAUGGGCCCGCGGCCUAUCAGCUUGUUGGUGGGGGAUGGCCUACCAAGGCGACGACGGGUAGCCGGCCUGAGAGGGCGACCGGCCACACUGGGACUGAGACACGGCCCAGACUCCUACGGGAGGCAGCAGUGGGGAAUCUUGCGCAAUGGGCGAAAGCCUGACGCAGCGACGCCGCGUGAGGGAUGACGGCCUGGUU